CAUCGCUCAACGGAUAAAAGGUACUCCGGGGAUAACAGGCUGAUACCGCCCAAGAGUUCACAUCGACGGCGGUGUUUGGCACCUCGAUGUCGGCUCAUCACAUCCUGGGGCUGAAGCCGGUCCCAAGGGUAUGGCUGUUCGCCAUUUAAAGUGGUACGCGAGCUGGGUUUAGAACGUCGUGAGACAGUUCGGUCCCUAUCUUCCGUGGGUGUAGGAUACUUGAGAGGAGUUGCCCCUAGUACGAGAGGACCGGGGUGAACGAUCCACUGGUGGACCUGUUGUCGUGCCAACGGCAGUGCAGGGUAGCUAUGAUCGGACAGGAUAACCGCUGAAGGCAUCUAAGCGGGAAGCCCCCCUCAAAACAAGGUAUCCCUGAGAGCCGAGAUAGACCAUCUCGUCGAUAGGCCGGAGAUGUAAGCAUGGUAACAUGUUCAGUUGA
rnacentral:rRNA from 14 species